UACGAAGGGUGCUAGCGUUGCUCGGAAUCACUGGGCGUAAAGCGCACGUAGGCGGAUUGUUAAGUCAGGGGUGAAAUCCUGGAGCUCAACUCCAGAACUGCCUUUGAUACUGGCGAUCUCGAGUUCGGGAGAGGUGAGUGGAACUGCGAGUGUAGAGGUGAAAUUCGUAGAUAUUCGCAAGAACACCAGUGGCGAAGGCGGCUCACUGGCCCGAUACUGACGCUGAGGUGCGAAAGCGUGGGGAGCAAACAGG
rnacentral:rRNA from 1 species